AUGAGUUUAUCUCCAGGCUUAGUGACUGUGAUAAUCUUAAUUCUCGGACAAACCUGUGGAUUCUCAGUAAUCCAGGAUGGUCAAGUGACCCUUUCAGAAACAGCUACCCUGACUGUGAACUGUACUUAUUCAGCCAUAGGUUACCUCCUUCUUUUCUGGUAUGUUCAGUAUCCUGGAGAACAUCUACAGCUCCUUCUGAGAGCCACGAAGGCCAACAAUAAGCAAAGCAACAAAGGUUUCGAAGCCACACACCACAAAUAAUCAAAAUCCUUCAACUUGGAGAAAGCCUCAGUCCAAGACUCAGAUUCGGCUGUGUAUUACCGUGCUCUGAAUGACACAGUGGCAGGAACUGCAGGGGGAGUUGAGCACACACUCUGAGCAGCACCAGGGGCCUGGAUGCUGAAUGUCUCUGACUUUUUGAUCCAUUCUGGUUCCAGCACAGUCUGUGCUGGUUUGUCUCUCAGACUCUGGUUGAUACAAAAAUCAUACCAACGGCUAGAGCAUAAGAACAAAAAAUGAAUAUUCCACAUACCCAACUUUCCCUUAGUGAAUCUGAAAACUGACAUAAAUAUUUCCUCAUCCAGGGCCAAGGUAAUUUCAAGGUAAAACCACAUAAACAAUGAAACCUGGACCUCAGGUAAGAAGCAACAAGAAGCCCUUGCGUGUAUGCCGUACCCUUGUGGAGGGGCUUAGAAAAUAGAAGCACCAAUUACACUUGGAUAAUUAGGGUGGAUGGUGCUCUGUGUGUGUGUUUUGAGGGCAUUCAGGGAGUGGAGGUUCAAAAUAGGAGGACUGAAAACAUACAAGCAGCAGACAACCGAUGUUCCCUACCAGUUCCUGCAUAAGAAGCAAUGGUUUCUUCCCUCACCCAGUAGAAAGUUGGAAGUUAGCCAUUAUGAAUUGAGCAACAGAACAUAUAAGGGGUGAAUGGCAAAAACCAAGUGGAACAGCGUCCUCCGUCCCUGACCAUCCUGGAGG